rnacentral:rRNA from 1 species
CGUGCCUAAUACAUGCAAGUAGAACUAUAAAGAGAGGAGCUUGCUCUUCUUGGAUGAGUUGCGAACGGGUGAGUAACGCGUAGGUAACCUGCCUUGUAGCGGGGGAUAACUAUUGGAAACGAUAGCUAAUACCGCAUAACAAUGGAUGACACAUGUCAUUUAUUUGAAAGGGGCAAUUGCUCCACUACAAGAUGGACCUGCGUUGUAUUAGCUAGUAGGUGAGGUAAUGGCUCACCUAGGCGACGAUACAUAGCCGACCUGAGAGGGUGAUCGGCCACACUGGGACUGAGACACGGCCCAGACUCCUACGGGAGGCAGCAGUAGGGAAUCUUCGGCAAUGGGGGCAACCCUGACCGAGCAACGCCGCGUGAGUGAAGAAGGUUUUCGGAUCGUAAAGCUCUGUUGUAAGUCAAGAACGGGUGUGAGAGUGGAAAGUUCACACUGUGACGGUAGCUUACCAGAAAGGGACGGCUAACUACGUGCCAGCAGCCGCGGUAAUACGUAGGUCCCGAGCGUUGUCCGGAUUUAUUGGGCGUAAAGCGAGCGCAGGCGGUUUGAUAAGUCUGAAGUUAAAGGCUGUGGCUCAACCAUAGUUCGCUUUGGAAACUGUCAAACUUGAGUGCAGAAGGGGAGAGUGGAAUUCCAUGUGUAGCGGUGAAAUGCGUAGAUAUAUGGAGGAACACCGGUGGCGAAAGCGGCUCUCUGGUCUGUAACUGACGCUGAGGCUCGAAAGCGUGGGGAGCGAACAGGAUUAGAUACCCUGGUAGUCCACGCCGUAAACGAUGAGUGCUAGGUGUUGGAUCCUUUCCGGGAUUCAGUGCCGCAGCUAACGCAUUAAGCACUCCGCCUGGGGAGUACGACCGCAAGGUUGAAACUCAAAGGAAUUGACGGGGGCCCGCACAAGCGGUGGAGCAUGUGGUUUAAUUCGAAGCAACGCGAAGAACCUUACCAGGUCUUGACAUCCCGAUGCUAUUUCUAGAGAUAGAAAGUUACUUCGGUACAUCGGUGACAGGUGGUGCAUGGUUGUCGUCAGCUCGUGUCGUGAGAUGUUGGGUUAAGUCCCGCAACGAGCGCAACCCCUAUUGUUAGUUGCCAUCAUUCAGUUGGGCACUCUAGCGAGACUGCCGGUAAUAAACCGGAGGAAGGUGGGGAUGACGUCAAAUCAUCAUGCCCCUUAUGACCUGGGCUACACACGUGCUACAAUGGUUGGUACAACGAGUUGCGAGUCGGUGACGGCGAGCUAAUCUCUUAAAGCCAAUCUCAGUUCGGAUUGUAGGCUGCAACUCGCCUACAUGAAGUCGGAAUCGCUAGUAAUCGCGGAUCAGCACGCCGCGGUGAAUACGUUCCCGGGCCUUGUACACACCGCCCGUCACACCACGAGAGUUUGUAACACCCGAAGUCGGUGAGGUAACCUUUUGGAGCCAGCCGCCUAAGGUGGGACAGAUGAUU